CACAUAGCAAAAUCUAAGCUCUCCUCUGCUGUAUUCAGGCUAGCUUAAAAAUGCAGAUAUAUUGCCAGCUGACUAGCAAGACGUUCUUCUUUCAACCUUGUUUUAAGAGGCCCCUGGUUUCUUGGAAGUGAGGGAGUGCAGCACUGAGAAGCAACGGGAAGAUGUCCUACACAUGGAGCGAUAGGCAGAUGCAGCUGCUCUAGGAUCCUCUGGUCAUCUGUUUUCAUUAAAACUUCACUUGUGCAUUUGACCUACCAGCUGGAUUCAGCAUAUGUCACUGGUAAAGAGAUUGAACAUUGAAAAUCACGAACAACAUUUACAUGAAACACUAGCUGCCACUAGCUUCACAUUCAUCUGUCAGGUGAUCAAAAUCUCAAUCUGAAUUUUUAGUCUGAACAUUUUUCUUCCUGUGGUCUCUUUACAACAAAAUUGCAUCCUCUUCCUUUCUGCGGCCUUCAGAUCAGUCUUUGCAACUUCUAAGUGACGGAUGAAGGAAAUCCUUAUUGCUUGAAGCAGCUCUACCUAUUUAUAUGAACCUGCCACGUGGUUUCCUAAAAUAUGAACUGACAAGGCCAUUCGUCUCUGAAAUGCUGCUGAAGAUGGUUUCAGAACUGGAGUGAUGAAGCCUGGUCGUAAUAGCUGCUGUCUCUUUCUUGUUGCCUCGUGUGCCAAGGUGUCCCAAAGCACAGCUGUGAAACAAAGUACCGUGGAAUAUUCCUUGAGAAUUCUACCCAGAUGUGAAAAGAAUAAGUGCAUUUUUUAAAACAGAUUUUAAGUUAAGCUGUUCAGCCUGAAAAUGUCAAAUAUGAAGAAGUGAUACUUUUGCUUAAUGUAAAACUGAAUCACUUCUUUAAUACGUAUAGCAUCUGAGUGAUUUAGUUAAGCUAUAUUAAAUUACAAUUCUGUUCUUGUUUUCUUGAUUAUAUUCAGAAUUACAAACUUCAGAUCUAUUGUUGUUAAAUAGGGAUAUUUUUCACUGUUCAGGUAUGAAUAUUUAAACAGUGCUAAAUUUCGAGGUAUACAGAUGAGCUAAUUUGAAAUUUUAAAUGAAUUAAAAGUUCAAUUUCUGAAAUGAUUUGUAAAGUCUUGCUUGAUUCUUGAGUGCUUCCAGGUGCUUCAAUAAAACCUGGUUCCAAAAAAUCCAGUAUUCUGUUUCUGAAAUUCACUAUUUAACCUCAUUCUUGUUAAUCUAGUACAAACUUUUAUUUCAUUUGACAGUACAGUUUUCAACUUUAUAGAUGAACCAGACAUUAAAACUCACAUAGCUUAUAAUUUACACGGAAAAUGGCAGAAAAAUAAAAGAUCAUUAGGGCUUGCAUUGCUAAAAUCAGAGCCAUCUGACCUCCUUUAACAAUUACUGCAUUUGAUAUUUAAUAACUUUCACAGAUUAACAUUGCUGACAAAUGAUCUGGUUUUCCAGUGGGUAGUUUAGCUCAUUGGAUCCAAAGGUAAAUAAAAGAAAAGGCAAUGAGCUCAUGGCUGUUAACAUGCUUUCAGCCCUUGGCCACCAUUUACCCCACUCCACAGCACGUAGAAAAAUCUCUGCCCAGCUGUAAUGAGAAGCUCCACCCCAUAUUAUUCUUGUUACAUAGGUACAGGUACUUAUGGCAGAAGUGCAGAAUUCACAUUCUUUGUACAUUCUGUGAGAGAGAAAAAGCAAAUGGUCAAUCAAAUUAGUCUUUUCUCAGCAUCUCUGCCCAGUACAUUGCCCUUUAGAGCAGCGGAUUUAGUAUCAGUUGGUCUCUGCCUGGGGUACAUGACGGUUUACCUCAAAUUCAGGACUUGUCGCUUCAAUAACAAUCUUUAAUUUUGGAUAUGUUUACUUUUUUUCUGUUUUCUUGUCUACUAUUCUAUUGUUUUGAAAUUCUUUUAUUGCUAAAUGCUGGAGAAAGCUCAUUUCAAACAUUCUGUUACACCAUUUUCUUUGUGUGUACCACAUACAACAGAGUUUUUCUUUCAAGUGCUGUAUUUCAUUUAAAACUGAUUGCACAAUUUUAGUGCCUGUGCCUCUUUAGCAAUCCUGGCUUUUUC
rnacentral:lncRNA from 1 species